AGAGUUUGAUCAUGGCUCAGAUUGAACGCUGGCGGCAGGCCUAACACAUGCAAGUCGAGCGGUAGCACAGAGAGCUUGCUCUCGGGUGACGAGCGGCGGACGGGUGAGUAAUGUCUGGGAAACUGCCUGAUGGAGGGGGAUAACUACUGGAAACGGUAGCUAAUACCGCAUAACGUCGUAAGACCAAAGUGGGGGACCUUCGGGCCUCAUGCCAUCAGAUGUGCCCAGAUGGGAUUAGCUAGUAGGUGGGGUAACGGCUCACCUAGGCGACGAUCCCUAGCUGGUCUGAGAGGAUGACCAGCCACACUGGAACUGAGACACGGUCCAGACUCCUACGGGAGGCAGCAGUGGGGAAUAUUGCACAAUGGGCGCAAGCCUGAUGCAGCCAUGCCGCGUGUGUGAAGAAGGCCUUCGGGUUGUAAAGCACUUUCAGCGGGGAGGAAGGCGGUGAGGUUAAUAACCUCAUCGAUUGACGUUACCCGCAGAAGAAGCACCGGCUAACUCCGUGCCAGCAGCCGCGGUAAUACGGAGGGUGCAAGCGUUAAUCGGAAUUACUGGGCGUAAAGCGCACGCAGGCGGUCUGUCAAGUCGGAUGUGAAAUCCCCGGGCUCAACCUGGGAACUGCAUUCGAAACUGGCAGGCUAGAGUCUUGUAGAGGGGGGUAGAAUUCCAGGUGUAGCGGUGAAAUGCGUAGAGAUCUGGAGGAAUACCGGUGGCGAAGGCGGCCCCCUGGACAAAGACUGACGCUCAGGUGCGAAAGCGUGGGGAGCAAACAGGAUUAGAUACCCUGGUAGUCCACGCCGUAAACGAUGUCGAUUUGGAGGUUGUGCCCUUGAGGCGUGGCUUCCGGAGCUAACGCGUUAAAUCGACCGCCUGGGGAGUACGGCCGCAAGGUUAAAACUCAAAUGAAUUGACGGGGGCCCGCACAAGCGGUGGAGCAUGUGGUUUAAUUCGAUGCAACGCGAAGAACCUUACCUGGUCUUGACAUCCACAGAACUUUCCAGAGAUGGAUUGGUGCCUUCGGGAACUGUGAGACAGGUGCUGCAUGGCUGUCGUCAGCUCGUGUUGUGAAAUGUUGGGUUAAGUCCCGCAACGAGCGCAACCCUUAUCCUUUGUUGCCAGCGGUUAGGCCGGGAACUCAAAGGAGACUGCCAGUGAUAAACUGGAGGAAGGUGGGGAUGACGUCAAGUCAUCAUGGCCCUUACGACCAGGGCUACACACGUGCUACAAUGGCAUAUACAAAGAGAAGCGACCUCGCGAGAGCAAGCGGACCUCAUAAAGUAUGUCGUAGUCCGGAUUGGAGUCUGCAACUCGACUCCAUGAAGUCGGAAUCGCUAGUAAUCGUAGAUCAGAAUGCUACGGUGAAUACGUUCCCGGGCCUUGUACACACCGCCCGUCACACCAUGGGAGUGGGUUGCAAAAGAAGUAGGUAGCUUAACCUUCGGGAGGGCGCUUACCACUUUGUGAUUCAUGACUGGGGUGAAGUCGUAACAAGGUAACCGUAGGGGAACCUGCGGUUGGAUCACCU
rnacentral:rRNA from 1 species